rnacentral:rRNA from 1 species
UGAGCAAUCUGCCCUUCACAUCGGAAUAACCAUUGGAAACGAUGGCUAAUACCGAAUAUGGCUUCGGAUCGCAUGAUCUGAAGUGGAAAGCUCCGGCGGUGAAGGAUGAGCUCGCGGCCUAUCAGCUUGUUGGUGAGGUAAUAGCUCACCAAGGCUAAGACGGGUAGCUGGUCUGAGAGGAUGAUCAGCCACACUGGAA